rnacentral:lncRNA from 1 species
ACCUGUCAAACUAAUUUGCAGUGGGAGAAGUAGAUCUGCAGUGAGGAAAAGGUUCAUUUAAAUGUGGCGCAGAAAACAUUCAUCAUACACUUUCCUAUUCCUUCUAGUAGAGGAAGAAUCAUCAAUUUGAAAGUCAGUUAAUUUGACUUUUACUUCUUGACCUGCCUGGAAAGUAUAUGUCCAUAUCUCAUCUAUCUCAACUACCUGAUUUUUGCUCCAGGGGAACUUCUAGGAGCACUGCACCCUCUCAGACCUGCGUGAGCAUUACUUGGAUGCUCUUUCAUCCAGCUCUGUGGAGAAGCAUGUACCUCUGCUACUCCUUUCACUUCCAUCCUUGGCCUCUUUGUGUGUUUUUCUUCCCUUUAUCCCUACCACAACGCUCUGCAACAGAGUACCUGAGGAGGCUGGGCCAUCGCCCUCACUGACCUUCUCUAAGAACACAAUAAACAUUUCUGAGGGAUGGCA